rnacentral:sRNA from 1 species
GCCAGGUGCGGUGGUACAUGCCUGUAAUCCCAGCGGCUAGGGAGGCUGAGGCAGGAGGAUCACAAGUUCAAAGCCAGCCUCAGCAAAAGCAAGGUGCUAAGCAACUUAGUGAGACCCUGUCUCUA